UAAUAGAUGUGGAAAGAGACAAGUAUAUUUUUCUAAUCCAAUAAAAGCGAUUCAGUGAUGGUGUGAGACUGAAAUUGGACGGAAAAUGGAAAUCACUCUGGAGUCUCCAGUUCUGAAUAAAGUAAGAAUUGGUACAAGGGUGGUAACGCGAUAAUCUGUGACAAGAAUUUUAUUUUCUGUCAACAAGGGUGGUAACGCGAUAAUCUCGUCCCUUUU
rnacentral:ncRNA from 1 species